AAACCAUGCUUUGUAGAAUGGAUCCUGCUUCAGAAUUGCUGAUCUCAUCAACCACAUGUUUAUAGAGAGAGCAGUGGCCCUUAAGGAACUGGAGAGAAUGCUCUGAUUUACUUCUGUCCGGCAUGGUGAACAGCAGGAUUGGCUGUAGCUGUUCUCUUUGCCAAGGACAGAUCUGAUCUGAUUGCCUUGAGGUGAAAGUGAGGAAGUGAGGAGCGUCUCUGCCCGGCCACCCAUCGUCUGAGAUGUGGGGAGCGCCUCUGCCCCGCCGCCCCGUCUGGGAUGUGAGGAGCGCUUCGGCCCGGCCGCGACCCCGUCUGGGAGGUGAGGAGCGUCUCUGCCCGGCCGCCCCGUCUGAGAAGUGAGGAGACCCUCCACCUGGCAACUGCCCCAUCUGAGAACGGCAUUCCAGAUUUUUCUGCAGUCCAGAAUAGAGCACCACCACCAUAGCAUUUCAAGCUCAUUCUAAGUUCAUCUUAUCAAUGACAAGAGGAGACACGUUGUUCAUU
rnacentral:lncRNA from 10 species